GAUGAACGCUGGCGGCGUGCCUAAUACAUGCAAGUCGAGCGAAUGGAUUAAGAGCUUGCUCUUAUGAAGUUAGCGGCGGACGGGUGAGUAACACGUGGGUAACCUGCCCAUAAGACUGGGAUAACUCCGGGAAACCGGGGCUAAUACCGGAUAACAUUUUGAACCGCAUGGUUCGAAAUUGAAAGGCGGCUUCGGCUGUCACUUAUGGAUGGACCCGCGUGGCAUUAGCUAAUUGGGGAGGUAACGGCUCACCAAGGCAACGAUGCGUAGCCGACCUGAGAGGGUGAUCAGCCACACUGGGACUGAGACACGGCCCAGACUCCUACGGGAGGCAGCAGUAGGGAAUCUUCCGCAAUGGACGAAAGUCUGACGGAGCAACGCCGCGUGAGUGAUGAAGGCUUUCGGGUCGUAAAACUCUGUUGUUAGGGAAGAACAAGUGCUAGUUGAAUAAGCUGGCACCUUGACGGUACCUAACCAGAAAGCCACGGCUAACUACGUGCCAGCCGCCGCCGUAA
rnacentral:rRNA from 1 species